CUUCACAUGAAAAGUUUAACUCUCUAACUGCUCUCUCAUUUAAUGUAAAAGAGUCACCUUAUUUUCAUAAUCACCCUGUUUAUGGACUAAGUUUGUAUCCCUCCAGAGCUCAUGCCCUUGAAGGCCUGCCUCCCCACAUCAUGGUGUUGGAUGGGGAUGAAGCCUUUGGGAUACAAUGCUGUUUAGAUGAGGUCAUGAUGCCGUUGGGGUUCUGAUAAAAUGAAGACGCCAAAGAGCUUUCUCUACUUGAAGGUUGGGACACAGCCAAAUGGUGGCUCUCCUGAAGCCAGGAUGAAGGUCAGGACCAGAAAACUCGUCUGUAGUCACGUAAUCCCCAGUGUUCCCAGCUUCAGGACCCAGAAGACCAAACACUCCCUCGGUCACCCAGUCUGACAUUGUGUCACAUCCUACAGCCUGAGCAGACCUAACACACCGAGGAAGGAAGCUUGUCCACUGAAAAUACUGAGAAACAAACAACCCAGGGACCAUGAGCACUAAGCAUUUGCUACUAAGAAGAAUUGGGGGUCCUUAGCGACAUGGCUUCUUCCAGAUCCAGGACAGACCACAGAAGCUUGGAGUUUCCUUGCUAUUUGGAUGACAGCAAAGAUUGAUGCGGUUAUAUCAGAAGGAAUCAACUGGCUAAACAUGGUUAAAAACUCAUGCGUCAAUAAAAAAAAAUCAGUAAAAU
rnacentral:lncRNA from 1 species